GACGAACGCUGGCGGCGUGCCUAAUACAUGCAAGUCGAGCGAACCACUUCGGUGGUGAGCGGCGAACGGGUGAGUAACACGUAGGUGAUCUGCCCAUCAGACGGGGACAACGAUUGGAAACGAUCGCUAAUACCGGAUAGGACGAAAGUUUAAAGGUGCUUCUGGCACCGCUGAUGGAUGAGCCUGCGGCGCAUUAGCUAGUUGGUAGGGUAAAGGCCUACCAAGGCGACGAUGCGUAGCCGACCUGAGAGGGUGAACGGCCACACUGGGACUGAGACACGGCCCAGACUCCUACGGGAGGCAGCAGUAGGGAAUCUUCGGCAAUGGGCGAAAGCCUGACCGAGCAACGCCGCGUGAAUGAUGAAGGCCUUCGGGUUGUAAAGUUCUGUUGUAAGGGAAGAACAAGUGCCGCAGGCAAUGGCGGCACCUUGACGGUACCUUGCGAGAAAGCCACGGCUAACUACGUGCCAGCAGCCGCAGUAA
rnacentral:rRNA from 1 species